rnacentral:rRNA from 1 species
CAGUCGCCGCGGUAACACGAAGGGGGCUAGCGUUGUUCGGAAUUACUGGGCGUAAAGGGCGCGUAGGCGGCCAUUCAAGUUAGAUGUGAAAGCCCUGGGCUCAACCUAGGAAUUGCAUUUGAUACUGUUUGGCUUGGGUUCGGGAGAGGUGAGUGGAAUUCCCAGUGUAGAGGUGAAAUUCGUAGAUAUUGGGAAGAAUACCAGUGGCGAAGGCGGCUCACUGGACCGACACUGACGCUGAGGCGCGAAAGCGUGGGGAGCAAACAGGAUUAGAUACCCCGGUAGUCCCUGUCUCUUAUAC